GGUGAGAUGGCCGAGUUGGUUAUGGCGCCAGGUUAAGGUGUACCUUAACGCAUUUCCUGGUCCGGAAACGGGCAUGGGUUCGAGUCCCAUUCUCAUCA